rnacentral:rRNA from 1 species
CAGUAGCCGCGGUAAUACGAAGGGUGCAAGCGUUAAUCGGAAUUACUGGGCGUAAAGCGUGCGUAGGCGGUGAGUUAAGUCUGCUGUGAAAUCCCCGGGCUCAACCUGGGAAUGGCAGUGGAUACUGGCUCGCUAGAGUGUGUCAGAGGAUGGUGGAAUUCCCGGUGUAGCGGUGAAAUGCGUAGAGAUUGGGAGGAACAUCAGUGGCGAAGGCGGCCAUCUGGGACAACACUGACGCUGAGGCACGAAAGCGUGGGGAGCAAACAGGAUUAGAUACCCGAGUAGUCCCUGUCUCUUAUAC